rnacentral:ncRNA from 1 species
CUUAUCAAGAGUGACUGAGGGAACAGGCCCUGUGAAGUCCGGCAACCUGCAUUUGUAAGGUGCCAAAUCCUGCGGUAAUGCCGAAAGAUGAG